AUUAAAAUGAUGUUAGUGAAGAGAAUAUAAUACAACAUACGUGGCUAGAGUCAUUUGCCGCAUGAUUGGAACCUACCAGAUGAUCCACACUGGCGGCGGUUGUGCAUUGUGUAAUAUGUGUGCGCUUUUAUCCACGCCUAUUCUGCAUCCUCCUUAAUUCCCCGACGUGCCUGGCUGCGAGGUGUUGCGCCGAGGGACCCCAGACAGGAAAACAGUGUCAGGACACCUUGCCGGCCAGGUGCGACGCGGCGCUAAUUACAGUAUCACACGACCGCGACAACAACUACAACAACGCGACAACGACACGACAGCGCGAGGAACAGCAAGGCGCCAAAUAUGCGCAAAGACUUAACGCGCGCUGACGAGG